rnacentral:tRNA from 1 species
GCCCUCAUAGCUCAACGGUAGAGCAGUUCCCUUUUAAGGAAAAGGUUGUAGGUUCGAAUCCUACUGGGGGCA